GACGAACGCUGGCGGCGUGUUUAACACAUGCAAGUCGAACGCUGAAGCCCUUUCGGGGGUGGAUGAGUGGCGAACGGGUGAGUAACACGUGGGUAAUCUGCCCUGCACUCUGGGAUAAGCCUUGGAAACGGGGUCUAAUACCGGAUAGGACACAUCGCCGCAUGGUGUGUGUGUGGAAAGUUCCGGCGGGUCAGGUUGAGCCCGCGGCCUAUCAGCUUGUUGGUGGGGUGAUGGCCUACCUAGGCGACGACGGGUAGCCGGCCUGAGAGGGUGACCGGCCACACUGGGACUGAGACACGGCCCAGACUCCUACGGGAGGCAGCAGUGGGGAAUCUUGCGCAAUGGGCGAAAGCCUGACGCAGCAACGCCGCGUGGGGGAUGACGGCCUUCGGGUUGUAAACCUCUUUCGACCGGGACGAAGGGUGACUGACGGUACCGGUAGAAGAAGCACCGGCUAACUACGUGCCAGCCGCCGCCGUAA
rnacentral:rRNA from 1 species